AGUCGAGCGGAUGAGAAGAGCUUGCUCUUCGAUUCAGCGGCGGACGGGUGAGUAAUGCCUAGGAAUCUGCCUGGUAGUGGGGGACAACGUUUCGAAAGGAACGCUAAUACCGCAUACGUCCUACGGGAGAAAGCAGGGGACCUUCGGGCCUUGCGCUAUCAGAUGAGCCUAGGUCGGAUUAGCUAGUUGGUGAGGUAAUGGCUCACCAAGGCGACGAUCCGUAACUGGUCUGAGAGGAUGAUCAGUCACACUGGAACUGAGACACGGUCCAGACUCCUACGGGAGGCAGCAGUGGGGAAUAUUGGACAAUGGGCGAAAGCCUGAUCCAGCCAUGCCGCGUGCGUGAAGAAGGUCUUCGGAUUGUAAAGCACUUUAAGUUGGGAGGAAGGGCAUUAACCUAAUACGUUAGUGUUUUGACGUUACCGACAGAAUAAGCACCGGCUAACUCUGUGCCAGCAGCCGCGGUAAUACAGAGGGUGCAAGCGUUAAUCGGAAUUACUGGGCGUAAAGCGCGCGUAGGUGGUUUGUUAAGUUGGAUGUGAAAGCCCCGGGCUCAACCUGGGAACUGCAUCCAAAACUGGCAAGCUAGAGUACGGUAGAGGGUGGUGGAAUUUCCUGUGUAGCGGUGAAAUGCGUAGAUAUAGGAAGGAACACCAGUGGCGAAGGCGACCACCUGGACUGAUACUGACACUGAGGUGCGAAAGCGUGGGGAGCAAACAGGAUUAGA
rnacentral:rRNA from 1 species